GUCAGUAUUUUGUUGUUUCAACAUAUUAAGAUGGUAACUUACAGAGAAAGUUAUAUGAUAUAAACAUAUGUAGUGUAAAAUUAACUGUCUCUGUAUGGCUGUCCAGCUCACUGCUGGUUAAAUAUUUUCAGUCAAUUUCAAAUUACUUCCUAAUUAACGUUUCUCUGUUAAGAGGUUGCAUUUUAACAGCUUGUUAGUGUUGUCAUGAUACUGUUUUUCGGUAGCAAUUAACGUUACUGAAAUUCGCUGUUGAGCGCGGUCCUAAACCCCGCCGUUUGGCCGUGAAGGUCAUCAGUUCACCGCACUUAACGUUAACCGCUGUUCACCGAGUGCAAACACCGAUACAGAGACAGCGGAUCAUUUUAAAACUGUGAAUCAUCAGCGGAUCUCUUAAAUGUCAGCCCAUAGACACGCCAGCUCAUCUUCGCGGCUUUUAAAACGAUCAAGUGGUGUGCAUCUGUGCUUGUGCCCGGUAAACAGUGGUGACAUGUAGUGAUGGGUCGUUCAUAAACGAUUCGUUCAUUUUGAAUGAAUCUUUUGUAUGACUCGAAAACGUUGAGUCCUUUCGGAGUGAUUCGUUUAAUUGCACAAUUGUGCUGGUGGAGCAGAAGAUUCGUUCCUUUUCGAGUCUUCUAAGUUAUGUGCUUUGAGUCGUUCGUUCAUCGCGUGAAAGACAGAAGCCAGUCAUGCAUUUAGAGCCGGAAAAAGUUUUGAUUCGUUCAUUUAUCGAGUCUUCGGAUUUGAUUCAUCUCUCUUCACGUGCUGCCACAUGAUAAACGAACGACUCAAAAACCAGAAGACUCGAGAGGUAAACUAAAAAUCAUCGCUCCUUUUGGCAGCUUAAUUAAUGUGGGUCUGUGUGACGUAAACGAACCACUGACGUUUGAAGACCUGAAGCUGAUAAUCAUAGACAAAAGACCAGGUAAACAAUAAAUGAUGAUUUACUCUUAUAGCAUUCCAAGUUAUGACUUGUUUGUGUAAUGUGGCAACGUCUGUGCUAGUUGUAGAUGAGUUUGGAAACAACUUAUUACAUUUUAAUAAUAUUUUGGCUACUCAAAAACACUUAAAUAUUAGCGGAAAUGGAUGCUUUUAAUUCCAGUACCAAUUGGUACCAAAAUUCAGUAUCAUGACAACCCUUCAGCACAGACAUUAUUUCAAAACUAAGUGGAUUAGAAUAAUUUUUUUCUAUGGUGAAUGUGUGUUAUACUUUGACAUAACAGGAAAAUGAUUGUUGACAUAUUGGUGUUUUCUUUCCCCCAAGUUUCUGUGCAUAUAAGGCUCUACAGAUCACAUUAGCAUGCUGGUAAAGGUGAAAUUUGGGGAUGCACAAAAGUUUGUUAAAAUAGCCCAUCUGAACCUGGAGGACUUUUUGUCUGCAGCCUUUUUGAAGUUUGGGGUUCCAAAUGUACCUGAGAACGUGAAGGUUGUGGAUGAAUCUGGGACUGAGGUGGAUAGUGAUGUUUUUGAGGAGUUAAUCAAAGAUCCCUCCGUUGGCGUUCUCACCAUAAAACAUGGUGCAGAUUUGGAACCGGCCUCUCCACAAUCAUCUUCUAUGCAUUUAGAUCAGUCUCUGUCUUCAUCCAUUGACUCCCUUGACUCUCAGGAUACA